rnacentral:rRNA from 1 species
CUAUCUUAGUGGCGGACGGGUGAGUAACGCGUGGGUAACCUGCCUUACACUGGGGGAUAACACUUAGAGAUAGGUGCUAAUACCGCAUAACAGUAGGAGACGCAUGUCUUUUACUUGAAAACUCCGGUGGUGUAAGAUGGACCCGCGUCUGAUUAGCUUGUUGGCGGGGUAACGGCUCACCAAGGCAACGAUCAGUAGCCGGCCUGAGAGGGUGAACGGCCACAUUGGGACUGAGACACGGCCCAAACUCCUACGGGAGGCAGCAG